AAGGAAUAUAGUGAGCUGCGCGAUUAAAAAGAGCGCUGAAACAAAAAGAAAGUAGUAAUGCAAAAAUGUAGUGAGAAGAAGGAAAAAUUAAAUAAAAAGUACCAAGAUGGCGGUUAGGAAGAUUCAGAACUUUUGCGAGUCCAUGAAUCUUUAUAUUUUACAAUCCAAGGGUGCCUCAUAACUUGUUCCAAACUCAUUCUUUUUUCAGGAUUAUGCUGUAAUAGACGAGAAAUAAGAUCCCGUGCAUCAGGAGGAACAAAGCUUGGAAUUUUUAAGUCAACUUUGGCGAUACGCUUAUACGUAGCUGAAUGACCAGACAUGUCCUCAAAAGGCGGUGCUCCCACCAAAAACUCAUAAGUUAAGACACCCAACGACCAGAGAUCAACUUUUUCGGUAUGCUCUUUUC